rnacentral:rRNA from 1 species
GACGAACGCUGGCGGCGUGCCUAAUACAUGCAAGUAGAACGCUGAAGGAGGAGCUUGCUUCUCUGGAUGAGUUGCGAACGGGUGAGUAACGCGUAGGUAACCUGCCUGGUAGUGGGGGAUAACUAUUGGAAACGAUAGCUAAUACCGCAUAAUAGCAGUUGUUGCAUGAUAACUGUUUGAAAGGUGCAAUUGCACCGCUACCAGAUGGACCUGCGUUGUAUUAGCUAGUUGGUGGGGUAACGGCUCACCAAGGCGACGAUACAUAGCCGACCUGAGAGGGGGAUCGGCCACACUGGGACUGAGACACGGCCCAGACUCCUACGGGAGGCAGCAGUAGGGAAUCUUCGGCAAUGGACGGAAGUCUGACCGAGCAACGCCGCGUGAGUGAAGAAGGGUUUCGGAUCGUAAAGCUCUGUUGUAAGAGAAGAACGAGUGUGAGAGUGGAAAGUUCACACUGUGACGGUAUCUGACCAGAAAGGGACGGCUAACUACGUG